rnacentral:rRNA from 1 species
UACGGAGGGGGCUAGCGUUGUUCGGAAUUACUGGGCGUGAAGCGCGUGUAGGCGGGUCCUUAAGUCAGGGGUGAAAUGCCGAGGCUCAACCUCGGAACUGCCUUUGAUACUGGGGAUCUUGAGUCCGGGAGAGGUGAGUGGAACUGCGAGUGUAGAGGUGAAAUUCGUAGAUAUUCGCAAGAACACCAGUGGCGAAGGCGGCUCACUGGCCCGGAACUGACGCUGAGACGCGAAAGCGUGGGGAGCAAACAGGG